GAGACUUGGGUCGGAGGACGAGCGCUUUAGAAAUUAGCCCUGGGGUGAGGAUGCCCUGUCACCGAGGCUGAGUUUCGGCCUUUGUUUUUUAUCUCACCACAGGGAAGUUAAAAAUUAACCGGAGCUUGUAAAAGGACUCCUAAGUAAUGGGACCUGUGAGGGCCUUUAAAGGGAACCUGCUCAUCCAGUCUCCUCGCCACACUGAGACGGGAGAGCAGAGGGAAAGGCUUUUGUUACAGGUACAAGGUUCAUGCACCCGAUGCUUCAAAAGAAAGGCCAAUAUUCAAUAGGGAAGCGUUGGCUUGGAGAGAAAUCUGUGUGGCGUUUGGAAACUGUAAGUGGAGCAACAGCUGUGACUUUAAUGUAGCCUACACCUCACAGAGUAUCUCACCUGCCAGCAGUUUCAGUGCUGUUAAGGACAAGUCUCCAUACUUGGAAACAAAGGAAGAGACCGACUGUCUGGCCUUCAGCGGUUAGCGUGGUUUAACAAGCUCACCCAAGAUUACUUCCUUAUCUGGAAGAAAGAAACCAAGUUUAACUUUGCUGUUUGCCAUGGAUUACAGCCCAGGCACUCUACUAGUUUACAGAUUUUUGUCCAAUAGAGAUGCAAAUGAUUUCUGUUCAGGGGGGAAGAUAAAUUAUGGUUUCGUUGCCCUGAAGAACAUCAUCCAGUUUCACAUAUAACUUAGUACAUGUUUGGAUAAUACCUUCACUUCCUGGUUCAUGUGGAGCAUCCGCUCUACCAGCCACCAACCCUGCAUGCGCCCAGUCAUCGCACCAAACUAUGUUUUCCCCCCAACGGUAUCCAUCAAGGCCAGACAUGGGUAAGACGAAUUAUGUUGGCUCUGCAGGAGCUGAAUCCACAUCUGUCUCUUUCCGAUCUUCACCUUCUUCCUUGACUCCUUCCCUUCAACCUCUAAGUAUGCUUAAGUUUUGCCCAUCUUGAAAAUAUUCAGAUUUGACCUGAGAACAUCCAAGCAUAGGUGAAGACACUAUCAUUGUUGUUUGGGUUAUCACAUUCUUGAAUCACCAGACUUUACUCUCUGGAGUGAGAAGAGCCAAGAUUUAGGCAAAAAAUUAAGGGACACCCUGGCUGGUGUGGCUCAGUGGAUUGGGCACCAGCCUGUGAAUUGAAAGGUUACUAGU